GAUGAACGCUGGCGGCGUGCCUAAUACAUGCAAGUCGAGCGAACAGACGAGGAGCUUGCUCCUCUGACGUUAGCGGCGGACGGGUGAGUAACACGUGGAUAACCUACCUAUAAGACUGGGAUAACUUCGGGAAACCGGAGCUAAUACCGGAUAAUAUAUUGAACCGCAUGGUUCAAUAGUGAAAGACGGUUUUGCUGUCACUUAUAGAUGGAUCCGCGCCGCAUUAGCUAGUUGGUAAGGUAACGGCUUACCAAGGCAACGAUGCGUAGCCGACCUGAGAGGGGGAUCGGCCACACUGGAACUGAGACACGGUCCAGACUCCUACGGGAGGCAGCAGUAGGGAAUCUUCCGCAAUGGGCGAAAGCUUGACGGAGCAACGCCGCGUGAGUGAUGAAGGUCUUCGGAUCGUAAAACGCUGUUAUUAGGGAAGAACAAAUGUGUAAGUAACUAUGCACGUCUGGACGGUACCUAAUCAGAAAGCCACGGCUAACUACGU
rnacentral:rRNA from 1 species